CCAAACUUGGUCAUUUAGAGGAAGUAAAAGUCGUAACAAGGUUUCCGUAGGUGAACCUGCGGAAGGAUCAUUAGAGAAUCAUUGAUGCAGGGUUCUGCCCUGUGUCAACCCACUCUAUUCACCCCUUGUGAACUGUCGAUCGGUUGAGAGUGCGUUUCUGCAUUCUUGGUCGAGGGUGCUGCAAUUAGAUUUGCCACCCGAAUCACCCUUUUGUUAAAACCAUAGUGUUGUGAAUGGUACGCCGCAUGGCGAUUUGAAACCAAAUACAACUUUCAGCAACGGAUCUCUAGGCUCUCGCAUCAAUGAAGAACGCAGC
rnacentral:misc_RNA from 1 species